UGAACGCUAGCGGCGCGCCUUAUCCAUGCAAGUCGAACGGACCCGAUUCUUCGGAUUCGGGUUAGUGGCAGACGGGCGAGUAACACGUUGGUGACCUGCCCCCGAGUGGGGUAUAACUACCCGAAAGGGUAGCUAAUCCCGCAUAUGCUCCACCAUUCAUUUGGUUGAGUAAAGGUCGCAAGACCGCUCGGGGAGGGGCCUGCGGCGGAUUAGCUAGUUGGUAGGGUAAUGGCCUACCAAGGCGACGAUCCGUAGGGGGCGUGAGAGCUCGACCCCCCGCACUGGGACUGAGACACGGCCCAGAUUCCUACGGGAAGCAGCAGGAGGGAAUCUUGCACAAUGGGCGAAAGCCAGAUGCAGCGACGCCGCGUGGGUGAUGAAGGCCUUCGGGUCGUAAAACCCUUUUCCGAGGGAAGAGAAGGGACGGUACCUCGGGAAUAAGCCCCGGCUAACUACGUGCCAGCAGCCGCGGUAAUACGUAGGGGGCGAGCGUUAUCCGGAUUUACUGGGCGUAAAGCGUGCGCAGGUGGUUUCGUAAGUCGGGCGUGAAAGCCUUCGGCUCAACCGAGGGAGGUCGUCCGAUACUGCGAGGCUUGAGGUCAGAAGAGGAGAGCGGAAUUCCCGGUGUAGCGGUGAAAUGCGUAGAUAUCGGGAGGAACACCAGUGGCGAAAGCGGCUCUCUGGUCUGCACCUGACGCUGAGGCACGAAAGCGUGGGGAGCGAUCGGGAUUAGAUACCCCGGUAGUCCACGCCGUAAACGAUGGGUGCUGGGUGUUGGUGGUAUCGACCCCAUCAGCGCCCUAGCUUACGCGUUAAGCACCCCGCCUGG
rnacentral:rRNA from 1 species